rnacentral:rRNA from 1 species
UGCGGAGGGGGCUAGCGUUGUUCGGAAUUACUGGGCGUAAAGCGCACGUAGGCGGUUACUCAAGUCAGAGGUGAAAGCCCGGGGCUCAACCCCGGAACUGCCUUUGAAACUAGGUGACUAGAAUCCUGGAGAGGUGUGUGGAAUUCCGAGUGUAGAGGUGAAAUUCGUAGAUAUUCGGAAGAACACCAGUGGCGAAGGCGGCUCACUGGACAGGUAUUGACGCUGAGGUGCGAAAGCGUGGGGAGCAAACAGG